AACGAACGCUGGCGGCAUGCCUAACACAUGCAAGUCGAACGAGACCUUCGGGUCUAGUGGCGCACGGGUGCGUAACGCGUGGGAACCUGCCCUUAGGUUCGGAAUAACUCCCCGAAAGGGGUGCUAAUACCGGAUAAUGUCUUCGGACCAAAGAUUUAUCGCCUUUGGAUGGGCCCGCGUUGGAUUAGCUAGUUGGUAGGGUAAAAGCCUACCAAUACGACGAUCCAUAGCUGGUGUGAGAGGAUGAUCAGCCACACUGGGACUGAGACACGGCACAGACUCGUGAGGGAGGAAGCAGUGGGGAAGAUCGGACAAUGGGGGAAAGCAUGCUCCAGCAAUGCCGGGUGAGUGAUGAAGGCCUGAGGGUUGUAAAGCUCUUUUACGCGGGAUGCUAAUGACAGUACCGGGAGAAGAAGCGCCGGCUAACUCCGUG
rnacentral:rRNA from 1 species